UCAAACUUGGUCAUUUAGAGGAAGUAAAAGUCGUAACAAGGUUUCCGUAGGUGAACCUGCGGAAGGAUCAUUAAUGAGUAUUUAAGGGAUUGCAACUAGUGUUAGUUGCAGUUCUUUUAUCUUCUCUUACCCCUUUUGUUAUUAUUUCUUAGUUGCUUUGGUAGUCUCUAAUGGCUGCCAAGGGAAGUAUUUAGAAACUCCUGUUACCAAGAUAAUUGGGCAUGUUAGUCAGAAUUUUAUACUCUUAAUAGUUAUAAAACUUUCAACAAUGGAUCUCUUGGUUCUGGCAUCGAUGAAGAACGCAGC
rnacentral:misc_RNA from 1 species